ACGGACUUAGCUCAGCCAGCAGAGCAUCUCUCUGAUAAGGAGAAGGUCAUAAGUGCAAGUCUUAUAGUCCGUA
rnacentral:tRNA from 2 species